rnacentral:rRNA from 1 species
GACUAACGCUGACGGUGUGCCUAAUACAUGCAAGUCGAACGGGCAGUGUAUCGGUGGCAACACUUUUAUACUGCUAGUGGCGAACGGGUGAGUAACGCGUGGGUAAUCUGCCUUAAAGACUGGGAUAACUCCUCGAAAGAGGUGCUAAUACCGGAUGGUCUAUAUUAAUCUCAUGGUUUUUAUAGUAAAGGUAGCCGCAAGGCCUCUGCUUUAAGAUGAGCUCGCGUCCUAUUAGCUUGUUGGUGGGGUAAUGGCCUACCAAGGCAAUGAUGGGUAGCCGGUCUGAGAGGGCGGACGGCCACACUGGGACUGAGACACGGCCCAGACUCCUACGGGAGGCAGCAGUGGGGAAUUGUUCGCAAUGGGCGCAAGCCUGACGACGCAACGCCGCGUGGGGGAUGAAGGUCUUCGGAUCGUAAACCCCUGUCGAAUGGGACGAAAGACCCGUGCCUUAAUACAGCGCGGGAGUGACGGUACCGUUAAAGGAAGCCACGGCUAACUCUGUGCCAGCAGCCGCGGUAAUACAGAGGUGGCAAGCGUUGUUCGGAAUUACUGGGCGUAAAGGGCGCGUAGGCGGCCUCCUAAGUCAGACGUGAAAUCCCCCGGCUUAACCUGGGAACUGCGUCUGAGACUGGAAGGCUAGAGUUCGGGAGAGGGAUGUAGAAUUCCAGGUGUAGCGGUGAAAUGCGUAGAUAUCUGGAGGAAUACCGGUGGCGAAGGCGGCAUCCUGGACCGAUACUGACGCUGAGGCGCGAAAGCUAGGGUAGCAAACGGGAUUAGAUACCCCGGUAGUCCUAGCCCUAAACGAUGAAUACUUGGUGUGGCGGG